rnacentral:rRNA from 1 species
UACGUAGGUGGCAAGCGUUGUCCGGAUUUACUGGGCGUAAAGAGCGCGCAGGCGGUCGUUCAAGUCGCGUGUGAAAGCCCCCGGCUCAACUGGGGAGGGUCACGCGAUACUGAUCGACUGGAAGGCAGGAGAGGGUAGUGGAAUUCCCGGUGUAGUGGUGAAAUGCGUAGAUAUCGGGAGGAACACCAGUGGCGAAGGCGACUACCUGGCCUGUUCUUGACGCUGAGGUGCGAAAGCGUGGGGGAGCAAACAGG